rnacentral:rRNA from 1 species
GAUGAACGCUAGCGGCAGGCCUAAUACAUGCAAGUCGAGGGGUAGAGAGAGCUUGCUUUCUUGAGACCGGCGCACGGGUGCGUAACGCGUAUGCAACCUACCUUUAUCUGGGGGAUAGCCCGGAGAAAUCCGGAUUAAUACCGCAUAAAAUCACAGAAUAGCAUUAUUUAAUGAUCAAACAUUUAUGGGAUGAAGAUGGGCAUGCGUGUCAUUAGCUAGUUGGCGGGGUAACGGCCCACCAAGGCGACGAUGACUAGGGGAUCUGAGAGGAUGGCCCCCCACACUGGUACUGAGACACGGACCAGACUCCUACGGGAGGCAGCAGUAAGGAAUAUUGGUCAAUGGAGGCAACUCUGAACCAGCCAUGCCGCGUGCAGGAAGACUGCCCUAUGGGUUGUAAACUGCUUUUAUCCGGGAAUAAACCUUUCUACGUGUAGGAAGCUGAAUGUACCGGAAGAAUAAGGAUCGGCUAACUCCGUGCCAGCAGCCGCGGUAAUACGGAGGAUCCAAGCGUUAUCCGGAUUUAUUGGGUUUAAAGGGUGCGUAGGCGGCCUGUUAAGUCAGGGGUGAAAGACGGUAGCUCAACUAUCGCAGUGCCCUUGAUACUGAUGGGCUUGAAUGGACUAGAGGUAGGCGGAAUGAGACAAGUAGCGGUGAAAUGCAUAGAUAUGUCUCAGAACACCGAUUGCGAAGGCAGCUUACUAUGGUCUUAUUGACGCUGAGGCACGAAAGCGUGGGGAUCAAACAGGAUUAGAUACCCUGGUAGUCCACGCCCUAAACGAUGAACACUCGCUGUUGGCGAUACACAGUCAGCGGCUAAGCGAAAGCGUUAAGUGUUCCACCUGGGGAGUACGCCCGCAAGGGUGAAACUCAAAGGAAUUGACGGGGGCCCGCACAAGCGGAGGAGCAUGUGGUUUAAUUCGAUGAUACGCGAGGAACCUUACCCGGGCUUGAAAGUUAGUGAAUGAUCUAGAGAUAGAUCAGUGAGCAAUCACACGAAACUAGGUGCUGCAUGGCUGUCGUCAGCUCGUGCCGUGAGGUGUUGGGUUAAGUCCCGCAACGAGCGCAACCCCUAUGUUUAGUUGCCAGCAUGUAAUGAUGGGGACUCUAAACAGACUGCCUGUGCAAACAGAGAGGAAGGAGGGGACGACGUCAAGUCAUCAUGGCCCUUACGUCCGGGGCUACACACGUGCUACAAUGGAUGGUACAGAGGGCAGCUAGCUGGCAACAGUAUGCGAAUCUCACAAAGCCAUUCACAGUUCGGAUUGGGGUCUGCAACUCGACCCCAUGAAGUUGGAUUCGCUAGUAAUCGCGUAUCAGCAAUGACGCGGUGAAUACGUUCCCGGGCCU